rnacentral:rRNA from 1 species
GGACCCGCACAAGUAGUGGAGCAUGUGGUUUAAUUCGAAGAUACGCGCAGAACCUUACCAACACUUGACAUGUUCGUCGCGACUCUAAGAGAUUAGAGUUUUCGGUUCGGCCGGACGAAACACAGGUGCUGCAUGGCUGUCGUCAGCUCGUGUCGUGAGAUGUUGGGUUAAGUCCCGCAACGAGCGCAACCCACGUCUUUAGUUGCCAGCAUUUAGUUGGGCACUCUAGAGAGACCGCCGGUGAUAAACCGGAGGAAGGUGUGGAUGACGUCAAGUCAUCAUGCCCCUUACAUCCUGGGCUACACACGUACUACAAUGCUACGGACAAAGGGCAGCAAGUUCGCGAGGACAAGCAAAUCCCAUAAACCGUGGCUCAGUUCAGAUCGUAGGCUGCAACUCGACUCUAUGAAGUAGGAAUCUCUAGUAAUCG